rnacentral:rRNA from 1 species
GACGAACGCUGGCGGCGUGCCUAAUACAUGCAAGUCGAGCGAUGAAGAUUGGUGCUUGCACCAAGUUGAAGAGCAGCGAACGGGUGAGUAACGCGUGGGGAAUCUGCCUUUGAGCGGGGGACAACAUUGGGAAACGAAUGCUAAUACCGCAUAACAACUUUAAACAUAAGUUGUAAGUGUGAAAGAUGCAAUUGCAUCACUCAAAGAUGAUCCAUCGUUGUAUUAGCUUGUUGGUGAGGUAAAGGCUCACCAAGGCGAUGAUACAUAGCCGACCUGAGAGGGUGGUCGGCCGCAUUGGGAGUGAGACACGGCCCAAACGGCUACGGGAGGCAGCCGUAGGGAUACUUCGGCAAUGGACGAAAGUCAGACCGAGAAACGCCGCGGGCGUGAAGAAGGAUUUCGGGUCGUGAAACUCUGUUGGUAGGGUAGAACGCUGGUGAGCGUGGAAAGCUCAUCAAGUGACGGUAACUACCCAGAAAGCGACGGCUAACUACGUG